AUGACGAUUCCACCCUCGCCUUCCCUGUUCCUAUUGGAUCCCUUGGUGCGCACGUCCCGCCCGGGCGAGGAAACAGCCGACAACAAGAAGAAUUUGCUGUCAGCCAAAGAGGCAUUCGGGUUCCCCACGGACCUCGAUUGCGACGAGCUCAUGCGGGGCAUGGCGCUAGAAGCAGACCUCGCCGGCGCGCCUGAUCUGUGCCGCCUGACCCUCCGAGGCGUCCCCCCGUUGUCCACCUGCAUCCAUGCCGUCGACAAGAACCUGAUCCUCAUGAUAACGUCCUUUCCCGAGGUUUACCACCGCGACAUCUAUCUCAUCUACAACACGAUCGACAGAUCGCUCCACAUGAUCCCGUCUCGGCCCAGCUCGCCCACUCGCGCCACCGUCCUCACGGCCCGUCUCCUCGUCGCGCGCCGACAGGACGAUGACAUGUGCUACGCCCUGGCCUUCCCGGGGUCCGUCCGCGGCGUAGGCUCUAGACAGGAGCCCGUUCUCUUCGUGUCUCCGUCCUCGUCCGACUCACAGUGGGAGAUAGCCAAGCGCGCUGAGUUCCCCGACCAUCUGCUCGCGGAGAAAAGCGACUUCGUCGCCAAAGAGGUGUUCUCGCACCGUGGCCGUGGUUACUGGAUGGAUCUCUUGCUCGGUGGCAUGUACUGUGACUGCGUUGAUCUUCUCUCCGGCCAGCGUUCCGUGGACGUCCGCUCCCUAGGCCUGCCUGUGGGGUGCAAGAGUUACCUCAGCUGCAGAGACUACAUACCAGAGGUGAGGGCCUUUCGAGCCGUGGGCUGUGUUGGGGACUCCAUCAAGUUUGUCUCCAUCACCGGCUUCCUUGAGCGUGUCAAUCUUGUGGAUGACCGCAUGUUGACGGUCUGGAGACUCAAGAAAGAUAUGAGUUGGGAUUUAGACUACGAGUUCAAGCUUGGGAGCCUGCGUGAAGAGGGGGCUUUCAAAGGGAACCACCUGCCGACCUCCAUGGCACCCAUGUACCCCUUCCUCAGCAUGCAGGAAGACCAUGUCAUCAAUUUCGCACUGGGUGAGUACAUUUAUCAGGAUCCGGAGUUCUGCUUUCCAUCCACGCCAAGCUUUUGGGUCCGUGUUGAUAUGAGCAGCAAGACUUUUAACUGCACACCUUUCUCUCUCACGGACGCCAGCAUUGGAUGUCUUCUUGCUAUCUCCGGCAAUGCUGAGGGCAAGCUUGCUUGGGCUUCCAGCCAAGCCAACUUUUGA
rnacentral:rRNA from 1 species